rnacentral:misc_RNA from 1 species
CCAUCAUGCAGCAGUCAUCAGUCGGUCACCAAUGCAAGCUCAUGGUCGUCAUGGAUGGCCACCGCUACUUCCGGUGCCACCGCCACCGCCGCCGCCGUAUCCACCUUGGCCGCCAGAGCCAGCUCCACUCCCGCCACCGGCCCCUGUUCCACCGCUUGCAUUCCCAUACCCAUGGGCGCUGCCCACAGCGCUUCCGGCGCGUCCCACCCCGGUUCCGCUGCCAGACGACGAAUCAUCGCCGCCGGCGCCACCGCCACCGCCACGGGUGACGGCCACGACGUCGGGGCCCAGGUGGAUCCCGACUCCUCCUCCACCGCCAGCGCCGACACCCACGCCGCCGCCGUUGCUGGUACUGACGACGACGGCGCCGCCUCCGGCGACGCCGAUCGCGACGUCCACUCCGUCGUUGCCGACGUGGAUGCCGACGCCGAGACCAGCUCCCCCGCCCGCGCUCGAGCCACCUCCGGAGCUGCUCGUGCCGGCGCCGGCGCCGCCGCCGAACCCGACGUCGGUGUCCGACCCGUUGUGCGAGACGGUCCAGCCGAAACCGUGCCCGCUCCCGGAGCCACGGCUGCUGCCGCCACGGCCAGGCUUCUUCCACGGUAGCAGUGGCCACGAGAGCUUGCUGCUGCUGGCGGCGGCGGCGGCGGCGUCGACGGCGCUAGAGCUCCUCGUGCCAGUGCUGCUGCCAUGGCUACGACUAGGAGGGAGGAAAUGCCUUGCGUUGGCACAGUGAGGGAGAGUAUUAGUGGCCGCCAUGCAUGCAAGCGCGAGGAAGAGGAAGGUAGUAGAGGCAUCCAUUCUGUUUCGAUUCUAGCUAGCUA